AGACUGUUUUGGUGGUCCAAUGGGUCCUCCUGGGCCACCUGGACCUCCACCACCAUAGUUAGAUGCUUUCUUGCUCCUUCAUAAAUAGACCUCCUAUCUGGGUUUAAACUUAGCUAUCUAAUUACAAUAUUUAUGUAAGAAUUGUUUGCUUUUUAGUAGUAGAAAUUAAUAUGAAUGAAAUCUGUUAGAGCGCUUAUUUUUCUGUCUCCUCUUUAGAGCGAUUCCUCUAUAAAUAUAUAAGGCACUGUCCAUUGAUGUGACGUGUUAAACAUAAGUAAAUUACAUGAUAAAUACUCUAGCAAAGGGCUUGCCAAAUUAUGGGUGAGCUAUUGGGGAGCUAACCAGCCUCGCCAACUAGGACGAGUGGGGAGCACACGUGUGGGGCAAACAUGACUUACGUAGCGUGUUGUGUAUUAUUUGUAUAACAAAAUCAUUCUCAAUAAAUUGAUCUUUAAAUCUUGGUUUUCUUGUAUGAGUUUAAUUUUUAUCACAUCAGUAAAAAAUGUUGUAUUUAAUGGCUGAACUAUAAACUCCUAAUAAACAAAACCUAGAUGAAAAAUAAUUGCAAUAUGUUGGAACCUUGAUUAUAAGUUAUGUAUAUUUUUAUUUCUCAGUUGUUAAAGCUCUCUGUGUUUCAAACUGUACACUGUUUAGUUUAAUGGAGACUAGACAACAUAUGAAUGGGGGGAAACAAAUGCAAAAAUUUCAGAUACACAUUUUUAACCUUUUUCCUACCCAAAACUAUUUUUAUUUGCAGUGGACACCAGGCUACUUGGGGUGUUUGUUAGAUAGUCGAGUUUUACUCGAAAAAUAUUCGAAUUCGAUUAUAUUGACCAGAGUUCAAGCAAUAAAAUCAGAAUUCAAGUAUCAUAAUACUUAAUUUGGACGGUUUACAAGCUUAAUUAGACUUUUCAUUCUAAUAUUUUUUAUUAUGAAUAAGCUCGAGUUUGGAUAUGACCAAUUUUAACUGAGCUCGAGUAUGAAAAUUGAUAAACAAACUCAAGUUUAAAUAUUGAAUCUCAAAUUUUGAGUUCGACUCGAGUUUGAGCUUGAUACUAUUUAAGUUUGGCUUGACUCAAUUACGCCUCUUCUAUUCGAGCAUCAUUGUUGAUCAAGUUGAUUUAACCAAUCAUGUGAAUUGACUAAUGUAAUUGGAGUAAUAAACUUUUAAUAUACUAUGCAAGUGAUUAAUUAUAUAUAUAUAUAUAUAACAUUGAUAAUUUCUCAUGUCCUUUAUUAAAAGCUAAAAGCUAAGUAUGUAAGAACAAAUGUAGCAAAUAAACAUUAUUUUAAAGUAAGAAAGAAAGAAAACAUGUUGAAUAAUGAAAACAAAUAAAAUAAUAAAGUAAAUUCAUUUAUUUUUAUCUCUAAUAGAAUAAAAUUCUUUAAUCAUGAUCCCCGAAAAAGCCUUCUAUUUCUAGAUGUGUUAGUAUCAUCCAAACCAUUAGAGUUAUCAUUUUUGUAUGCUAAAUUUGAUUCAGUGUCAAUUUUAUCAUAAAUUAGAUUCAUAUCCGCAUUAUCUCCUUUCGGUUUAAUAGAAUCUUGAUAGAGUUUAAUGAAAUGUUUAGGUGUAUAUCAAGUAUGUGACCAAUGAUAUUUAUACCAUAUUAAUCACAUAAGUUAUUUAUUAUGACUAUUAUUUUUAUGGUUAUUAUUAUGCCAUUGACAAUUUUAAAAUCUUGCAAACUUAGGUGCAUCCAAUUAUAAUGAGCUUUAGAUAGAAUUAUUGUCUUUUGCGAUGAUAUUUAUUGUCACAUCUACUCUUUUUUAUAGAAUCUCUAGAACUAACCCAUAACUCCUCCCAAACUUUUAAAUAAGAGGAUAAUGCGCUUCACUGCACUCGGAUCCAUGUCCUCCUACGCUGACAACAAUACUAAUAUCAAUCGAGUUAAAACUCAAUCCACUUCAAUUGCCUUUUAAAUUAUACAAAUUAAGACUAAGCAAUUCAACGUAGAGGAAGCAUGCGUGGUAUAUUCAAAGGGGAAGCAGAAACAUCAAUCCGAGGCGAUCGAUACUGCUUAAGUGAUACCUAUAAAUUAAAAAACUAUUUUAUAUUAAAAAGUAUUUUUAUAAAAAUAUAAGUGGUAAAAAUUCUUUUAUAUUGUGUUCAAAUCUUAAAUAAUAUUUUUUAAUUGUCUUAAUUAAAUAUGUAAAAAUAUAAAAAGAUAAAAAUACUUUUAACUCGUGGUAUUAAUUCAAUUAAUUAUUUUAUAUAUAAUGUACAUAUAUUUAAUUAGUAUAUUUUUUUUCAUAUCUAUACAACCAUAAUUGAAAAGAAACACGUGGCAUGCCCGAUAAUCUAAAAAUAUUAAAGAUUGGUAGGUGGCUUGGCUUCCUACUUAUUUUAGAUUUGCGUCUGUUUUUUUUUUACAUCAUAUUCAUAAGGGUUAAUGGCACCAUUGACCCCUGUACUUUGGGGUUUGUUCUUUCAAAAUAUCCAAUUAACCCUCUGUACUUUACUUCCGUUAGCUAAAGUGGUCUCUGACCCAAACGGCGUUACCUUUUUUAUCAUGCGGCGCUUAUACUUUACUUCCGUUAGCUAAAGCUGUUGACUUGAAGGUUGACUGUUAGAGACCCUUAUGAGCAAUUAAAUCAUUUUUCAUUUAGAAAAUUAAAAUAAACGAAGGGGCCAACGAUGCCAAAUUUAAAUGAAAACAUAAGAUUUUUUAUAGCAAAAAAAUUUUUCCUUGUAGGUUACUUUUUUUUAUCAUUUUGUUUUCAUUUUUUUUUCUACUCUUUCUCUCUUCUCUUCUAGCCGCGGUCAUCAUUGUGUCUAAUCAUCGGUCGGUCAGAUUAAAAAAGAGAGAAGAGAGUAAAUCUGAGCAUAGUACAAGUAUCAAAUUAUAUAAAAAUUAAAUUUUAAAUUUGAGCAUAGUAUAAGUACCAAAAGUAAUUGCUAAUAUCAUCAAAUCAAAACGAAAAACAAAUUAUAAUUAAAAAAAUUUAUGAUGUCAAUGUUUCAUAUUUUCAAUCCCAAAUAAUCCCAUUCCCCUCUCCCAAUUAUAUAAAAAAAAAUUCAUAUUUUGCCUUAAAAAUUGCAUUAUGAUGGCAAAGAGCUUGUUACAAAAAUUGAAUAUAAAAGCUAGGAUCUGUGUGUUCAAGAUUAAAUUAAACUAAAAAUGAAUCUUACUAAAAUGUAAAUCAAUUAUUAAGAAUGAGGACUAAACAAGAAUUAUACCAAUUCAACAAACAGAGAUAGAAGAACCGACCGAGGUGCUAGAGUAACCAUUUUAAGAAAAGGAAGGGAGUUAAGAUGAAGUAUUGCCUAUUCAUAUGUUUACUCACCAUACAUAAAACAUUAUUUUGAUUUUAGGGUUUAAUACCUCCUAAUUUUAUUCAUUAACUCUAUCUAACAAUCUCAUUAUAAAUUCUGAUCAUAUUUGUUCUUUUUGACACAAUGCCUAAAACUAUUCAUAGCCCCUCCUCAAUGGGGGCGUUGGCAAGGGCUUCGACUCUCCUAAAAGGAAAUUUUUAAAAUUUUAAAUUCGUAAAGGUAAAACUAUACUUUGACCCCUCUAAAAAAUGAAAAAAAGAAAUUGAUAUUUCGGCCCAACUAAAAAAAUUUUCUGGCUUCACCCAUUGCUCCUCAACCCAUAAAUAGGAGGAUAAUAUGUUUCAACGCACUCAAACCAUGUUCUCUUACAUUGAUAACAAUGUCCAUACUAAUUGAACUAAGACUCAAUCGACAAAGCAUAUACUAAAUUGAAGGUGUGUCGGUUGGCAUAGAUGGUGCCAAAACAGGAGAAAGUAUGAGGAAAACCGAUUGCCCUGGGAGACAUUAUAACUUUUAUAAAAAACAGCUUUGUGACUAUCAACCAGCUUUCGAGAGUGGUAGGUUUAAUAAGAAUGGUAGUUGCAGAAUUAAAUUAAGUUAAAGAAAAUGUGGCUCAUAGACAGAUGGAUCCUUCUCGUUUAAGUAAACCAAAUUCAUUCCUAUAAAGCCACCUUCCAUGAUUGGUGACACAAGUUUCAAGCUUUUCUUCUCAGGUUUCCCUCCAUUGUGAAGUGUAAGUUCACCAGUUGUUGCUAGGGAGAAAUCAAAAUGGGGCCAGGUGGACCAGGAGGACCUCCGGGAUGGGGCGGUCCUCCUCCCGGACCGGGUUUUUCCGGUGGCAUUUGUGACUUCAUUGGUUCUUGGUAAGUUCAUUAGGGGUUUGAAAGAUUAUAUUUUGGUAUUUAUAUCCAAAUAUGAAGGAAGCAUAAGAAAUUGUGUAUAUUUUUGCAGUUUGAGCUUUCUGUGUUGCUGCUGGCUGCUUGGAGACUGUUUUGGUGGUCCAAUGGGUCCACCAGGGCCACCUGGACCACCUGGAUUUGGACCUCCACCACCCUAGUUAUAUGUCUACCAUCUUCAUAUUCCAACACAAAAAUUGGAGGCUUUUCUAGCUUCUAUCUGGGUUUCAACUUAGCUAUCUAAAAUACAUAUUUAUGUAAUAAUUGUUUGCAUUUUUAGUAGAAUUUAUGUUUAUUGAAAUUAAUCUCAAUAAAUUGAUCUUUCAAUCUUUUUUCUUUGCUAAUAUCAACGUAAUUUUAUUUUAUCAUUUCAGUGAUACAAACUGUUGAGAUCUUUUGUCUAUAUAUAUAUAUAUAACUUGUUAAUUUAAUGGCUGAAUUACAAAUUCUCUUUAUUUUCAUUCCUAUUAAACAAAACCUUGAGUUAUAAGACUAAAAUGAGGAUUAAUGAUUAAUAUCAUAUGCACAGUUGGUGUAUAAGUCUCAUGUACCGUUAAUAACAAUUUUUUUUUUAAAAUUUUGAGUUUCAAGUUUUAGGUUUUGAAUUUCGGAUUUUGAGUUUUGUGUCAUGAAUUUGAUAUUUUGUAUUUAUUUAAGUUUAAUAAAUAUAAAUUAAUAUUUAUUUUUAAAAAUAAAGUUAUUUAUAUUAAUGUUUAAACCCUUUAAUAGUUUUUGUUUUACAUAGGUAACGAUGUAUCAUUUUAUUAUUAACUGAUGGUACAUGAGAUCUAUAUGCCGACAGUGCAUCAAAUACUCUUCCCUUAAAAUAAUUAAUGAACUUUUUAUAUGUUGAUAUAUGAAAAAUUGAGAUAAAAAAGGGGAAAAUAAUUCAUAUCCUAAUAUAUCCACAAUCAUGGUGGUCCUUGUAACUUUGAAAUUUCCUUAUGAAUAUUCUUGACAUGGUGCUUUAUAAAACAUAAAAGAAAAAUAAAAAUAUUUCUUUUCAAUCAAGAAAAUGGGGGAAAAGAAUUACAUCAAGCAUUAUUCAUAUAUGAUAUGAUAUGUUUUUGUUUAUAUGUACAUUAGUUAUUAUCUUACAUGCAUGUUAUAUGUGUAUUAUUAUAUAAAAGAAAAUUAUAUGAAAAUUUUAAAUUUUGGGAUAGCUGUUUGAGUUUUAAAAUAUUUAUUUUUUAAUUAUAUUUAAAGUGGGUUUCGUUUUUUAAAUUAAAAUUUUUAUUAAUUGUUAGAGUUUGUGUGAGUCGAGUCUCGUUACUUGUUGAAGAAAUAAUUAUAGUGGCAAAAUAAGGGAGUCUGUGGCAAUUUUUAUACGGACCAUGUCGCACAAGUAGAAUUUUUCAACCUUCCUGUAUUAUUCAGUUUUCAACAUUAAUUAAGAAAUAAAUUAUAUUUAUUUAAAAAUUAAUAAAAUAAGUGUUUUGCAUAUACAUUAUUUGGAAAAAAAAACUUAUCAAAAACAACAAUGGUUGCCUGAAUUAUUUUAACAUUGUAGUGUCUAAAUUUUAUAUAUUUAUAUAGCAUUUUAAUUUAUUUAAGCAUUAUUUGGUUGAAAUUAGAUAAUUUUCUAAUAUAUAAUUUUUUAUUAAUUAAUUUUUUGCUUCAACUUUAAAUAAAUAAAUUUAUUUAUUUUUGUAACUUAUACUUAUUAUUAGUACAAACAAGCAUUUAAUAAUAUUUAAAUUUUAGUGUUUUCAGAAAAUUUACAUGAAAAUUAAAAGAAUAUUAAUUUUUUUACAGUACUUUCUUAAUUUUUAUUGUACAUAAAAUUAUGAUCAUAGUUUUGUCUCCCAUUAAAUCAUUUUGUUUAAUAUAUGUUUAUAUUUUUAUUAAAAUAUUAAUAAAAAUGAAAUAUAUUUUAAUUAAUACACAUAAUUAUCUCGGGUAAAAUAGUUUUUAAUACUAUUUAAAAUUUAAUAUUUUCCCCGUAAAAUUUACGCAUAUAAUAUAUUCGCAAUAUUACAAAUAUAUUAUAUUCCAAAUAAUUUGUAUAAAUAAAAAAACUCGUGCUUCACAUGGGUAAAAAAAAUUAGUUAUUUUAUAUUUAAUUUUACACAUUCUUUUCAUGUCCUUUUUAUCUUUUAAUUACUAAAUGGAUUAAAUAAAAUUCUUUUUUAUUUUUAGAAAGACCAAAGUAUAAUUUUACCAUCCUACCUUCUAAUUUUACAUUUUUAAAGGGACUAAAAUGGUCGACGGAAGUGCUUCUUUGUUUUGAGAACUUUGACUCGAUUGUUAUCUAUUUUACACUUUUUUUUGCUUAUUUUUAUUAAAUAGAACCAAUUAAAUUUUAUUUAUUUGCUAAAGUAAUUAGUAAAGUAAAGUAAAAAAAAUUAGUUUUAAUUUUAACUUUUAUAAUAAAUUAAUAUUCAAUAAGUGUAAUUUUUUGUAAUUAAAAUCCACGUGAUAUUAAAAUAAUUAUUUUAUUAUAUUCUAGAUAUUAUGGCCAGUAUCAUGUUAAAUUUGUGCUAACAUACACGUCACGUCAAAAUUUUGGAUGAUUUUUAUUAGCAUCGUUAUCAAUUUUACCAACUUGUUUCUAUUUUAUUAACACGUCAUUGUCAGAGGUAUGGCGAUAUCCUCUUUUAGGUAUCAUGUCACCAACAUUGUGAGGGGGACAAAAUUGGAAAAAAAAUGGCAGUCUUUGUUCAUCCGAUCCACCAAUCACCCAAGGCUCGUGUAGAGACAAUUUUGGCAACAAAAAUUCAUCAUCAUUCAACCUAAAACAACCAAUUUUAGCUGAGGAGGAGAGAGACACACAUUAGCUUAGUUUUAGCCUUAGUUUUCUCUUAGUUUUUUUGCAACUUUUCUGGGGUUUUCAUUUUCUUUUCUUCUUUCUUAGUUUUAGUGUUUAUUUUUCUGCAUUUACUUCUUGUUCUUGAUGUUCUUAGUGUUAGUUAAGUUAGUUAUCAUUGUAGCUUAGGUUUAUUUACACUUUCAGUCCCUAUACCUUGGUUGUAAGACAUUUCUAGCUUUAGUUUAAUAUAUUUCAGUUUCUUUUACUUUCAAUCAACUAAAGUUUGUUCCUUUUAUGUUUAUUGUUUUAGAUUUCCUUGUUGAAUGUCUUUAGUUUCAUGUUUUUAAGUUUUAUUGUAUAAAAAUCCAAACUUUUAUAUUUUUCUUAAGUUUUGCUUUAACGACUUCCUUACUUUUUAUUUCCAUGUUCAUUCUCUUUAUUUUCAACAUGAGUAGCUAAACCUAAAAAAGGGGUUGGUUGAUGGAGAUGUGGGUAAGUUGAUUUUCGGACAAAGGACUAAAUCGUAAUAAAUUGGACUAAAUCAAAUAGAUUUAAAAAUUAGGAAGUGACGCCCCUAAGGGAACAUCUAGGCAAGUGAUACAGAGAUGUAAUCUUUUUGUGCACCCAUUCAUUAGUCUCGAAUUAACCGGUGAGACCGAGAGAUAAAUCGAAUUAAUUCGUCUAAGUCGAUAAAAUUGAUAUCGAAAGAUAAAAUAGAGCCACUUAGUAAUUUAAGAGAUUUAAGUCCCUCGUUUGAGGAUCGACGAACCACAUCAGAAUCAACCAACCACCUUUAUUCAUUUGCUGGUUAAUUUCUUAGUUUUGUACUCUUUGCAAUUUAGUCGCUAGAUUAACAUAUUUAAUUUUCUUACAAAAUUUUCUUGUUAUGAUUUGCCAUACUAUAAAAUCAUAUCAGUAGCGACUUAGACUCUAUAGUUUAUGUUAUCCAUCACUCAAUCACUAUCUCCUUUGGGUUCGAUCAUUGGAAUACUCUGGUGUUCCAUUGUAACAUUACAAAUAUUACAACUGACCAGUAUGCUUGUAAUAAAAUCGCGAUUUAAAAUUAUUUUAUAACAAUCAUUUGUUUUAUGCGCACGUGCAAAUGCGGACACCUAUCCUUUAUUACAUUCACUUGGGCACAUUUAGCACAUAUAAUAAUUUCUUUAUAGUUUAGUCCAUAUCUCACUUUUUUAUACCAAAUCGUAAAUAAUUCAAAUCAUAUUCACACAACACAAAUUCAUAAUUUAAAUAUAUAUAUUAUAAUCACAUAUAACCACACCAUAUGAACUUACCUAACAAAAACAACAACAAACAAGAUAUCAAGGACUAAUUUGCAAUUUUGCUAUUUUCUUGACUAUCCUUCAAUUGGUUCAAAUAUCGAUCUAUAUGAUAAUUCAUUUUAGUUUAUCAUUUCUAAAUACCUUAUAUCAUCCUAUUAUAUGUAUAUGACAUUUCAAUUUUAUUUUUUAAAAGUUCCCUAAAUUUUCACAUUUAAUUUAAUUUAGUCCCUAAAACUGAAACUGCCAUAACUUUUAAAUUUGAUCCUUGAUUUUGAAACCUAUCUCAAUUACAUCCUUAUUUAACCCUCUAUUAUCUAUAAUUACAUAAAAUUAACAUAAACUUCAAAAUUUAUGCACUUUAGUCCUUAUGUUCAAAAACUAACAAUUAAACUUUACAAACUAGUCCUUUUUCAUAUCUAGGCUUAAAAUAUAAUAAAUUAACACUAAUUUCAUCAAGCAUUCAACAAUGGAAACUUUUAAAAACUUUAACAGCUUUACAAAUUAGUACAUGAGUUAGCUAAAUCAAGCUCUCACAACCUCAAAAACAUAAAAAUUACAAGAAAAUGACUAAAUUGAACAUACCAUGCAAGUGCUGAAAGUAUUUGAGCUUCAAAAAUGGCUUCCUAGGUUUCCUUUUGUGCUUUCGUGGAGAAGAAAGAAAAAUGUAAAGAUGAUCGCUUCUUUUUUUUAUGUUAAUUAAUCUUUAUAUUGUAUAUAUUAUUUUUUUAUAAUUUUAAUAUUAUUUGAACAAAACAUCCUACCAACCGUCCACUAUCAUUCUAAAAUGGCUUAUUUUCCAUUUUAGUUAUUGAUUUAAUUGCUAUAUAAAUCCUUAAGUCUUUGGCCAAUUAUAAAUCUAUAGUUAUGAACUUUUACAAUUUAGUCAUUGUACAAAUUACCUUGAUUUAAUUAACUACCAAUUUGGCUAAAUUAAGGGACCAAACUAAUACUAACCUUGUCGAACGGGCAAGGCCAAUUUGGGCGUGUGGGCCCAAAAUUCUAAAUUUUUUUCUAGGGUCGCACAGGUCGUUUCGAUCGACUGUGAGCCUACUGUAGGGUCGGUAAAGGCUAACCAAACCCUAAUUCAUGAGAUCUGAUAGUCUAAUUUGAGUAAGACACUGAUAAGUAUGUGUGACUAUUUUGGUUGAGUAUAUAUAUGUUAUCUAUAUACAAGCAUGUUAAGCAUGUUAAUUCUGUAUUUGUAUCUAUGUUUGGGUUGAGAUUUGUAUAUAUGGAGGAAGUGAUCUGUACGGCGACCUUUCGCCUAUAUUCUGGUAGCUUGCCUGCAUAUUAUUUGUUAUGUGUUACAUCGACACUAUAUUGUGUGUAGGGAUGGGUGGGUGUUUCUAACCCCACAUAGUGUGAUGGGAUGGACGGAGAUGGUGUGUAGAGGAUGGGGGUAGGAUUCUGUAUAUCUGUUUCGUUUAUCUAAUUCUGAUAUCUGUAUUUGUAUGGACUUAGGUUCGAAUCUGUAUCUGACUGUAUAUGAAAUAUUGUGUAUGUUGCAUGACUAUUUCUGUUGGGUUACACACUAAGUAUUUAUAAACUCACUUUUGUUUGUCUGUUCUAUUCAGAUAAUCCACAUACAUAGGUGGGUCGGUGCGACGGGGGCUCAGCGGUGACCACUUGACGAGAAACUAUUUUUCGUUAUUAUUUUUAUGGUCUUUACUAGAAUUCUCGGCUUUCGUGAGAGUUUUUGUAAUUUUUGGACUCUCCAAAAUUUUUGAACUGUUUGGUUUAAAUUUUUGGUUUGGUUGCGUUAUGAUUUCUAAAACUGUGAUGACUCGACAAAAUAUUAAUUUCACGCGAACAAAUGUUAAUUUUGAAAAUACGAGCAUGGUUUUGAUUUAAUCGGGUUUUUUCAAACUUUCGCUGUGAAAUGUUUUGGUUAACCUUAAAGGAUAACAUGUAAUGGUUUCAGUAAUAAAUAUAUAAUUGAAUACAUUUUUAACUUGGACAUUUUAUCGAAGUAUCAUCGGUUUCAAAACCCUUCUUCAUAACACUCCUAAAUUCGAUCAUAACGUCUAGGCUGGGUUUGAGGUGUUACAAUAGUAGUUGUAUAUUCAUUUUGAGUUUAGACUAUGUGACAUGUACAUAAGGGUUUUUAGUAUGCUAUGUUCAUUUUAAAGUGAAUGACAUUAUGUGCUUGUAGUAAUGGUUAAUGUUGGAUUUACCAUUUGGUAUUUAUAUUAUUAGUACAUAUUUUGGUUAAAUUUUAUGAUGUAUGAGUGAUGAAUUUACCAUUGAAUACUUUGAUAUGUUAAGUUAUCAAUUAAGCUAUUUGAAAUGGUUAAGUUAGACAAUGUUUUCGGAAUGGCAAGAUAAGUGAUAAUUAUGUUAGGUAGUUUAGUAUAUAUGUUUUAACUUAUUCAUGCUAAUUUCUUGAAUUGGUAGUUUCCAAUUGGUAAGAUAAUUGUGCUUGAGUUGGAAUUGAGGGCAUUUUGGUAGGAAUAGAUGGAAUGGGUAUGUAUAUGGUUAAAACUUGACUAAUUAGUUAGUAAGAUAUAUAUAUAAUGGUUAAUUAAUUGAUUUUAUAUUUGAGAUGGUUGUCAAUUGGGUUGGUUUAAUGAAUUUAUUUUGUGAAGAUUGGAUGGAAGCAUGUUUGGAAUGGUUUGGAAAUACUUGAAACAAGUACCAAAUGUGCAUUUUGGAAAAAAACAGGGGUAAUGUCGCGAUGAGAGGUCUUUAACAUUGCAAUGUCGUUCGAUAGUGAGUGACGUCGCGACGUAUAUAUACAUGUUGUCGCAACGUAUGUAUACAUGUUGUCGCUACGUGAGUCACUACGAUGAUGUCACCUUGACGAGGAAGCUUUGAGGUUGCGAUGUCGGCCCAAAACUUUUAAAACUUUACACAUUAAUCUUGAUUCAUACUCGAGUUAGCAAAAGAGCUUUGGUAAGCUUGUGUGAGACCAAAAAAUGAUUGUGUGUCAUGUCGUGAAUACAUUUAAUGCUGAAUUACAUGUUUAAAUGGUCAGAAAGUAUAUGAUUGCUCGUAGUUGCUCCGGCAAUUACCAGAGUAUUCGAUUACUCGGACCCGACGAUUGGGUCGAGUAAGGGGUGUUACAAUAUUAUUGAAAUCAAGCUUAAUAAUUCAAUACUAUCCAUUUCUAUUAUUAUCCUAUGAAGACCAAGAUUCCAUUCUAGAGUUAGUCCAUAAAAAACACCUUAUGCAACAUUGAAGGUUUAAUCAAGAUGGAUGCAACAAUGGCACAUCCUCUGAGCACAAGGCUAACAUCCUCUUCCUCUACACCACAGAUUGAACACCAACUAUAGGAAAUAUUUUCUAUGUUGUGGUCUACAGAACAUAUUUAAUGUCAGUAUUUUAAGGAGUCAUGAUGAUUGCAAUUCGAGUACUCACCUCAUUAGGCAAGUAAAGGCUAAACCAAUCCCAAUCCAAGCACUUGACAAAGUAACCAUAUCCUUAACUAACGUAAAGUACCACACUUAAAAGGGUUAAACCCUGCCAUAAAUCAUAAAAUGCCCUACAUCAGGCACCCAAUUAUCUCUCUAAAAAUCAAUAUUGGUACCAUAACCUCUUUGUGCAUUUCCUUUCAAACAUUACAAAUUCCUUUCCAAAGACAAAGUGUAAUAGCUCGUUUUCAGUAAAACUGGAACAGUGUUUUGGGACCACAUAUCUGAGGUUAAAAAGUUUAUUUUAAUAUUAUUUUGUGAUCUAUAGCAUGACAGUAUUAUCGUAUAAAAAUUUUGAUAAGAUAUUUUACCGUUUGCAUGUUCAAUUUUGACAAAAAGGACUAAAUCACGUAAAGUGCAAAAGUGGUGUUCUAUUAGCUCAAUGUGUUAAAUAGCUAUAGAAAUUUUAAGUGGAGGUCCUUAUAUGAUAAUUAUACCAUUAAUUGAGUUAGUUCAUGUGCAUGGCUUGGUAAUUAUGAAAAUUUUAAAGUUAGGUAAGGGUAAUUUAGUAAUUAGGUAAAUUAAUGAUAAAAUAAAUAAAAUAAAGACCAAACUAUCAUAUUUUUCAUUUCUUUCUUCUCCCAACCGAAAAUACCUAAGGAAGACACCAUUUUUGAGCUUCAAACUUUCGACUAGUGCAUGGUGAGUGUUCCUUGUCCCGUUUUUAAUGAUUUUUAUAUUUUCGGGAUCGUUGUAGCUUAACCUAACUAACUCGGGGACUAAUUUGCAAAACUAGUGAGUAGUUUGAGAUUUGUAAUUGAUGAAUAAUUUAGGUUUUUGAAGUUUAAUAAAAUAAAAUGAAUCUUUGUUGUGAGUUAAACAACUUCUAUUAAGUGAUUUUUAAUGAAAUUGUCAAAUAGGGGUUAAAUUGAGAAAUGUGAUAAUUGUGUGGUAAAUGUGUGAAAUUGUGAAAUGUAUGGGCUGUUAUAAGCAUGUAUAGAAUUUGGCUAGGCUUGGGUAUGGAUGAAAUUGCAUGAAUUUCAUUUUACGAGCCUAGGGACUAAAUUGUAAAGAAAUCAAAAGUAUAGGGACAAAAUAGAAAUUUUGCAAAAAUAUGAUUUUUGGAUUGAAUGGAAUAGACUGAGGAUUAAAUUAGUUACAUUUGAUUAUAUAUAUCAAGAAAAACAAGGUACAAAUUUAGAUCGGGGAAAUGACAAAGUAUUAGAAUAAACGAUCGUUUUUCUCUGUACGAGUUUGAGGUAAGUUCGUGUAUUUAAUUAGCAUUAAAUUAUAUGUGAUUUAAAUUCUUGUGUGUGUUAAUAUUUGUAUUAUGGCUCUACAGAAAUAUCUGAUGAAGUUUCGACGACUUACGGAUCUCGGUUGAACCUUAGGAAUAAAUAGGAUACAAAUGACAUGUCAUUAAGGGUUACCAUGUUUUGGGUGCUGGUCUCGUACAUCCUACCGGUGGCUGAGUUUCUAGCAUGUGUUGCUGUUACUUUACAGCUUGUGUGAGCAGUACUGUAUAGCUACGUCUUGACUGACAGCUUGUGUGAGCAGACCCAGUUAUGGCCAAAGAGAGAGCAUCGAUAUGAGAUAUGAGAUUGUAGUGGUUUCGACCAUGUGUUGGCACAUAGUGUGCGAGAUACCCGUGUAUCCGAUAUUAUUCUAAGUGGUUCAACGGGCACAGUUCAGUUACGAGGUUAUACGAGUUCUAUAUGAACUAGUACAUUUAUUUAUGUGAAAUAUGGGAAAUGGUUUAUACUUGACAUAUGAAUACAUGACUAACUUGGUUAAUGAUUAUGUGUUAGGUUAUUGGGCCAAAUUGAAUUGUGUUAUGCCUUAAUUUACUUGCCUAGAUUGUGGUUGAAUGGUAAGUUAUAUUUUUAGUUAUACGAACUUACUAAGCUUAAAUGUUUACUCUGGGUUAUUUUCCGUGUUUUAUAAUGUUUCAGAAGCUCGUUCGGAUUGGAAGUUGCCGGAGAUAAUGUUUUAUAAGGGUACUUUUGGUUAAAUAUUUUGGUUUAAUGGCAUGUAUUGGUCUUUUUGGCUAAUGGUAGCCUAUAUGUUUGUCAUGUUUUAGCCAUUUGAAUUGGCUUAUAUUAGGGAUAUAUAUUUUGUUAUGUAUAUAUGUGUAAAUGGUCUUAUCAUAUUAGUGUAUGCUUAUCAUGUGAGUGUGUGCUAGUUGUGAAUUGGUAUUUUAAGUAUCAAUUAGUUGAUCUUUGAUAAGUGACAUACAUGUUAAGUUUAGGCACAAUGAUGCAUAUAUGUGUUUGACCAUUUAGGUAGAUUUUGGAGACAUAAUUGGCAUGUUAUAAAUGACAAAUUGAGGUGCCUAUGAGUAUCAUGGUUGUAUGUGAUGUUAUAACAUGUUAUAAGCUUGAUGUUGGUUGGUUUUGAAUGCCUAGCACAUGGAUGUGUGACUUGGCCGUGUGACACAAGUCAGUAUACCCUUAAGUUUUCAUACGGCCUGGCACACGGGCAUGUGAAGUUAUUUGAAGAGUACACGGCCUGGCACACGGGCGUGUGGUUUGGCCGUGUGACCCAAGUCAGUGAGUUACACGAGCACAGACACGGGCUGGGACAGGGUCGUGUGUCCCUAUUUCGAAUGCCCACUUGGCCUGGCCACACGGGCGUAUGUCCCCUGCACCUUUGAAAAAUUUUCAUGUUUUCCGAAAAAUUCUUUGAGUACCCGAUUUAGUCCUGAACUAUUUUUAAUGUCUAUUUUGGGCCUCGAGGACUCAUAUUAGGGAUUAUAUGAUUGAUUGUGAAUGGUUUUUGAUUUGAAUGUGAGUUGCAAAUGAAAUGUCUGUUUGUUUGAUUGUAAGUUCGGUAAUGCUCCGUAACCCUGUUCCGACAUCAAAUACAGGUUAAGGGUGUUACAACGAGAACAAUUAGAAUUCCGUGGCUCAUUAGGUAGAAGUCCCUCCCAUUUAUAGUUGAAUCUUAGAACUUUGGGCCAUAGAUGAUCUUUCUUUGAGACUAAAUGCAAACUUUUUUUUUACUUUAAUAUGAUUUUUGUAUUUUGAAUAUUUGCUUCUGAAUAUAUAUAUUUUCCUUAAAUUUUAACAAUUUCUUACUUUGUUGUAAAUGGUUCUAUUUUUUAAAAUAAUCAACUUUUGCUUUAUUGGAUUAUUAUAAUUCUUAAGAAUAUGACCUUUUUUUUUUACUUUUAAUAUGUGAAUUAAAUUAACAAACUAUCAAAAUUAUUUUCUACUUUUUUGAAUUAUUAGGGGUCUUUAUCAUUUUUAAAUUUAUAUCUAUUUAAUUUAUACUUUUUCAUUUAAUUUUUUAUGAAGAAAAUUGAUAUUUUAUUUUUUUAUAUUUAAUUUAUUUAAUAUAUGUUUUUUAAGAAAGAUUAUACUUGAAAAAUUACUUAAGCAAAUAAUUUAUUUUACUUUCUACAUCUUAACCAAACCAAAAAAUAUAUAUAUAUAUUUUACUUUUAUUAAUUUUAACUAUCUAGACAAGGAAAAUAUAUUCCUCACCUUUUUCUAACCUUCCAUUCCAUUCCUUUCUUUUAUUAUUAAUUAUUCAAACAUAAGGUAAGAGUCUAUCCGAGUAUAAUAAUAGUAUGAAGUUUGCCUAGAUAAAAUGGUAAAGAUCAUAAGCUGCCUCCUCUUCCUCCUCCUCCUUCUUAUCAUUAGCCUUUAAAAAAAAAAUCUAUGUUUGGGUGUUGUUUGGAAGUUUUUGAAACAAAUCUCUUUGAAGUGAAAAGGAAUGAAACGAGGUGAAGAAUAGAAGGGAGAAAAGUAGGAAAAACCAAAAGAUGCAGUUGGACCAGGAUACCUAAGUUCCAUGGACCUAGCUACCCUUUUAUAUAUUAUACAUAUAGCCACAAGCAAUGAAAAUGGUUUGGGAAUAUAUGCAUGAAAUGGACUGCCUUGACUCUCUAUACUACUAAACUAUAUGCAAAGGGAUAUUAAUAAUACUAUUAAACUAAAGCUUUAUUUAUGUUGCUACCUUUCAUGGAACUAUUUUAGGAAUGUGAACUUAAGAGAAGAAGAUGACAUGGAUGAUGUUUGAGAAGGGUGACCUUUUUAUGGAACAUUACACCCCCUUUCUCCUAGUUUAUUUACUAAGAGAAGAAGAUGGCAUGGAUGGUGUUUGGACACUUAUCAUUUCAACUUCCUUUCAAAAUGUAGUUGCCAUUGGUCUAAUAUUCCCCCAAUCUGCAACUAUGCAUGAAGACUACUCAAUGGAUGUACAUAUUUGUAUAUAAUCACCCUUUUAUGAUUUGGUUCUUCAAUGUAUGAUUAAUAUUAGAGAAAGAGAGAAGUCAUGUAAAAGAAAAUUCUAAAAACACUCACAUAUUCUUCUUCCAUGUGUUGGACGAUCAUGCAUAUAUUCACACAACAAUUACUACCAUUUCACCCAUGCACUAUGUUCUUUAAACCCAAGGUAAAUGUUAGACCAAAAUAUGUUACAUUUUUUUAAAAAUAUACUUUUAAAUUAUUAUAUCUCGUAUUUCUUAAAUCAUAUAUAACAAGAAGGUUUUGAUUGUCAAGCAACUAGUCCAAUAAUUAGUAUGAUGGAGACCACUUUACAUCUUCCAAUUUGGUACAAUAUGGAAUCACUCUGCAUUCAUCAGCCAAUAAGUAGUAGCCUUGGGCACUAAGUAUAAAGUGUAGGCAUUAGUUCCCCAAUAGGAUCACCUUUCAAUCA
rnacentral:lncRNA from 1 species